UACGGGGGGGGGCAAGCGUUUGUUCGGAAUUACUGGGCGUAAAGCGUGCGCAGGCGGUUAUGUAAGACAGGUGUGAAAUCCCCGGGCUUAACCUGGGAACUGCAUUUGUGACUGCAUAGCUAGAGUACGGUAGAGGGGGAUGGAAUUCCGCGUGUAGCAGUGAAAUGCGUAGAUAUGCGGAGGAACACCGAUGGCGAAGGCAAUCCCCUGGACCUGUACUGACGCUCAUGCACGAAAGCGUGGGGAGCAAACAGG
rnacentral:rRNA from 1 species